rnacentral:miRNA from 1 species
UAUAGUCUCUCUCUUUAAAAAUAAUCUGGCAUCUCGCAGUGUAAUAUAUAUAUAUAUAUAUAUAUAUAUAUAUAUAUAUAUAUAUACACACACACUGUGAGAUGCCAGAUUAUUUUUAAAGAGAGAGACUAUA